rnacentral:rRNA from 1 species
GGUUAAGCGACUAAGCGUACACGGUGGAUGCCCUGGCAGUCAGAGGCGAUGAAGGACGUGCUAAUCUGCGAUAAGCGUCGGUAAGGUGAUAUGAACCGUUAUAACCGGCGAUUUCCGAAUGGGGAAACCCAGUGUGUUUCGACACACUAUCAUUAACUGAAUCCAUAGGUUAAUGAGGCGAACCGGGGGAACUGAAACAUCUAAGUACCCCGAGGAAAAGAAAUCAACCGAGAUUCCCCCAGUAGCGGCGAGCGAACGGGGAGCAGCCCAGAGCCUGAAUCAGUGUGUGUGUUAGUGGAAGCGUCUGGAAAGGCGCGCGAUACAGGGUGACAGCCCCGUACACAAAAAUGCACAUGCUGUGAGCUCGAUGAGUAGGGCGGGACACGUGGUAUCCUGUCUGAAUAUGGGGGGACCAUCCUCCAAGGCUAAAUACUCCUGACUGACCGAUAGUGAACCAGUACCGUGAGGGAAAGGCGAAAAGAACCCCGGCGAGGGGAGUGAAAAAGAACCUGAAACCGUGUACGUACAAGCAGUGGGAGCACGCUUAGGCGUGUGACUGCGUACCUUUUGUAUAAUGGGUCAGCGACUUAUAUUCUGUAGCAAGGUUAACCGAAUAGGGGAGCCGAAGGGAAACCGAGUCUUAACUGGGCGUUAAGUUGCAGGGUAUAGACCCGAAACCCGGUGAUCUAGCCAUGGGCAGGUUGAAGGUUGGGUAACACUAACUGGAGGACCGAACCGACUAAUGUUGAAAAAUUAGCGGAUGACUUGUGGCUGGGGGUGAAAGGCCAAUCAAACCGGGAGAUAGCUGGUUCUCCCCGAAAGCUAUUUAGGUAGCGCCUCGUGAAUUCAUCUCCGGGGGUAGAGCACUGUUUCGGCAAGGGGGUCAUCCCGACUUACCAACCCGAUGCAAACUGCGAAUACCGGAGAAUGUUAUCACGGGAGACACACGGCGGGUGCUAACGUCCGUCGUGAAGAGGGAAACAACCCAGACCGCCAGCUAAGGUCCCAAAGUCAUGGUUAAGUGGGAAACGAUGUGGGAAGGCCCAGACAGCCAGGAUGUUGGCUUAGAAGCAGCCAUCAUUUAAAGAAAGCGUAAUAGCUCACUGGUCGAGUCGGCCUGCGCGGAAGAUGUAACGGGGCUAAACCAUGCACCGAAGCUGCGGCAGCGACGCUGAUGCGUUGUUGGGUAGGGGAGCGUUCUGUAAGCCUGCGAAGGUGUGCUGUGAGGCAUGCUGGAGGUAUCAGAAGUGCGAAUGCUGACAUAAGUAACGAUAAAGCGGGUGAAAAGCCCGCUCGCCGGAAGACCAAGGGUUCCUGUCCAACGUUAAUCGGGGCAGGGUGAGUCGACCCCUAAGGCGAGGCCGAAAGGCGUAGUCGAUGGGAAACAGGUUAAUAUUCCUGUACUUGGUGUUACUGCGAAGGGGGGACGGAGAAGGCUAUGUUGGCCGGGCGACGGUUGUCCCGGUUUAAGCGUGUAGGCUGGUUUUCCAGGCAAAUCCGGAAAAUCAAGGCUGAGGCGUGAUGACGAGGCACUACGGUGCUGAAGCAACAAAUGCCCUGCUUCCAGGAAAAGCCUCUAAGCAUCAGGUAACAUCAAAUCGUACCCCAAACCGACACAGGUGGUCAGGUAGAGAAUACCAAGGCGCUUGAGAGAACUCGGGUGAAGGAACUAGGCAAAAUGGUGCCGUAACUUCGGGAGAAGGCACGCUGAUAUGUAGGUGAGGUCCCUCGCGGAUGGAGCUGAAAUCAGUCGAAGAUACCAGCUGGCUGCAACUGUUUAUUAAAAACACAGCACUGUGCAAACACGAAAGUGGACGUAUACGGUGUGACGCCUGCCCGGUGCCGGAAGGUUAAUUGAUGGGGUUAGCGCAAGCGAAGCUCUUGAUCGAAGCCCCGGUAAACGGCGGCCGUAACUAUAACGGUCCUAAGGUAGCGAAAUUCCUUGUCGGGUAAGUUCCGACCUGCACGAAUGGCGUAAUGAUGGCCAGGCUGUCUCCACCCGAGACUCAGUGAAAUUGAACUCGCUGUGAAGAUGCAGUGUACCCGCGGCAAGACGGAAAGACCCCGUGAACCUUUACUAUAGCUUGACACUGAACAUUGAGCCUUGAUGUGUAGGAUAGGUGGGAGGCUUAGAAGUGUGGACGCCAGUCUGCAUGGAGCCGACCUUGAAAUACCACCCUUUAAUGUUUGAUGUUCUAACGUUGACCCGUAAUCCGGGUUGCGGACAGUGUCUGGUGGGUAGUUUGACUGGGGCGGUCUCCUCCUAAAGAGUAACGGAGGAGCACGAAGGUUGGCUAAUCCUGGUCGGACAUCAGGAGGUUAGUGCAAUGGCAUAAGCCAGCUUGACUGCGAGCGUGACGGCGCGAGCAGGUGCGAAAGCAGGUCAUAGUGAUCCGGUGGUUCUGAAUGGAAGGGCCAUCGCUCAACGGAUAAAAGGUACUCCGGGGAUAACAGGCUGAUACCGCCCAAGAGUUCAUAUCGACGGCGGUGUUUGGCACCUCGAUGUCGGCUCAUCACAUCCUGGGGCUGAAGUAGGUCCCAAGGGUAUGGCUGUUCGCCAUUUAAAGUGGUACGCGAGCUGGGUUUAGAACGUCGUGAGACAGUUCGGUCCCUAUCUGCCGUGGGCGCUGGAGAACUGAGGGGGGCUGCUCCUAGUACGAGAGGACCGGAGUGGACGCAUCACUGGUGUUCGGGUUGUCAUGCCAAUGGCACUGCCCGGUAGCUAAAUGCGGAAGAGAUAAGUGCUGAAAGCAUCUAAGCACGAAACUUGCCCCGAGAUGAGUUCUCCCUGACUCCUUGAGAGUCCUGAAGGAACGUUGAAGACGACGACGUUGAUAGGCCGGGUGUGUAAGCGCAGCGAUGCGUUGAGCUAACCGGUACUAAUGAACCGUGAGGCUUAACCUUAC